GAUGAACGCUAGCGGUAGGCCUAAUACAUGCAAGUCGAGGGGUAGAGCUAGCGUGCUAGCUUGAGACUGGCGCCCGGGUGCGUCACGCGUAUGCAACCUACCUCAAGCAGGGGGAUGGCCCGGAGAAAUCCGGAUUAACACCGCAUAAAAACACAGGGCAGCAUUACCCAAUGUUCAAAUACUCAUAGGAUUGGGAGCGGCUUGAGGGCCAUUAGCUAGUUGGCGUGGUAACGGCCCAACAAGGCGACGAUGGCUAGGGGAUCUGAGAGGAUGACCCCCCACACUGGUACGGAGACACGGGCCAGACUCCUACGGGAGGGAGCAGUAAGGAAUAUUGGUCAAUGGGGGCAACCCUGAUCCAUCCAUGCCGCGUGCAGGAUGACGGCCCUCCGGGUUGUAAACUGCUUUUGUACGGGAAUAAACCUUUCUUCGUGAAGAAAGCUGAAUGUACCGUAACAAUAAGGAUCGGCUAACUCCGUGCCAGCAGCCGCCGUAA
rnacentral:rRNA from 1 species